ensembl:snRNA U6 U6 spliceosomal RNA
GUGCUUUCUUUGGCAGCACACACACUAAAAUCAGAAUGAUUCAGAGAAGAUUAACAUGGCCCCCACACAAGGAAGACAUGCAAAUUUGUCAAGUAUUCUAUAUUUUU